rnacentral:sRNA from 1 species
UGAAAAGAAGAAGAUAUCUUAUCAAGUGCAUAAAAACGUUUACAUCAUACUGGACCCUAUUAAAGAACCUUGUUUAUCAGCCCGCGAUAAAGCAAGCAACCAGGAAGGAAAAAUUUCCAGGGGAUUAUCGAAGUGCUGGUCGAUCAAUCAAAGAACAAAUAGUUAAAUGGCAUUCUUAUUUUGGCAAACAUGGAUUAAAAUAGGCCCGUUUAGAUUCAGUUUUCAUCUCUUUCUGUUGUCAGUCGCCCGCAGACCUACCAAAAUCGCAGAAAGUUGAUAAGUGCGACCCCCGAAGACCCGCAUUUGGCUGCCACCAACUGAUAAGCAACUACAUACAUAAGUACAUACGUACAUACUUUAGGACAGCUUGGCUACAGUAAACAAAUUAGUACAAAGAUAAUUCAUUGGAUAUGCGGCGUGACUUAUGGCCAGGAAAUCUAGCAAGUGGACUAAGAACAAGUUCAGUUACUAUUGCUUUCUUAUAAAAACGUCAGAAGUUUUGAAAUUCUGCGGAUCUGUUUGCUAUUUUCUAUUUCUUCCUAAUUUGUGGAUGAACUAAAUACCCAAUACUACCUUUAAUAUAUUUCGAUUAAAAUAUCUAUUAAGUUAGUUUAUAAAUAAUUAAUACAUGUUGCAUGCCCCAUUGUAAACAGUGCGUGUCCAAAUGGGGUGCAUGAAGCGGAUUUUCUGGUGCUGAUAAACCGAAAUAGAGUCACUUUUCAAACGGACUUUCUGCACCACAGCCUUAAACUAAGGCCACGUAGUGCUUGGAUCGGCGAGAUGAGUGCUCGACUCGACUCUCCGCUUUUCGGUGGUGAUAAGUGGACGCGGCCAAUGGGCCACGCAGGCAGAUUCCGGGGCUGAGUGAUAACUAUCGGCCGUUCUGGCUGAUAAGCUCAGUCGUCCGAUUGCCACCAAGAUAUUGUGAAAAAAUCACCUAUCGACGCCCCUGUCGGUGCUCAUGAAAAAUGUGUCAAAUACAGAGACAAGAGCACGAGAGCGACAGGAACUGGGAGAGGAGAGAGCGAGAGCUUGACGAAGUAACUUGACGGAGCAGGGGAGCAGCUCCAUAUAAAACCGGAUGAUAGCCGGCAACUACAACAAAACGAUCGAGCAGUGCCAGUGGUGUAUUGUAUGCAUGUGAGUGUGAUUUGCCUGUGUGCCUGCACAUUUCUGUUUCGCUCUUUUUCUUCUUCGGGAAUAGGGUUGUGUGUGUGUUGCCACCUUUCGAGAAGGCACAGGUAAAAAAACGAAAACAAGCAACAUACCUACAUAGCAAAUACCAUCGUUCAUACGUUCGUAUGUGACGCCUGCAGCGACGCUGACGUCGACAAAUGAAGACAAAGCACAAUAACAAUGCGCUAAAGUUCAGCUUUAAACAAAAAAAAAACUAAAAAAAAAAUAUAUAUACAAAUUGGUAUGCACAUAUCGGAUGGAUUCUUGUUUCUGUAAUUUCGAUACAAAGAUCCCAAAGACCAAAAAAAUAAAAGCUUGACGUAGUCAGUUUUAGGCAUGGAA